rnacentral:rRNA from 1 species
AUUGAACGCUGGCGGCAGGCCUAACACAUGCAAGUCGAACGAGUGGCGGACGGGUGAGUAAUGUCUGGGAAACUGCCUGAUGGGGGGGGAUAAUAACUGGAAACGGUAGCUAAUACCGCAUACCAUCAGUGGGGCCCAGAGGGGAUUAGCUAGUUGGUGGGGUAACGGCUCACCAAGGCGACGACCCCUAGCUGGGCUGAGAGGAUGACCAGCCACACUGGAACUGAGCCACGGUCCAGACUCCUACGGGAGGCAGCAGUGGGGAAUAUUGCACAAUGGGCGCAAGCCGGAUGCAGCCAUGCCGCGUGUAUGAAGAAGGCCUUCGGGUUGUAAAGUACUUUCAGCGGGGAGGCGUUACCCGCAGAAGAAGCACCGGCUAACUCCGUGCCAGCAGCCGCGGUAAUUC